GACGAACGCUGGCGGCGUGCUUAACACAUGCAAGUCGAACGGAAAGGCCCUGCUUUUGUGGGGUGCUCGAGUGGCGAACGGGUGAGUAAAACGUGAGUAACAUGCCCUUGACUUUGGGAUAACUUCAGGAAACUGGGGCUAAUACCGGAUAGGAGCUCCUGCUGCAUGGGGGGGGUUGGAAAGUUUCGGCGGUUGGGGAUGGACUCGCGGCUUAUCAGCUUGUUGGUGGGGUAGUGGCUUACCAAGGCUUUGACGGGUAGCCGGCCUGAGAGGGUGACCGGCCACAUUGGGACUGAGAUACGGCCCAGACGCCUACGGGCGGCAGCAGUGGGGAAUAUUGCACAAUGGGCGGAAGCCUGAUGCAGCAACGCCGCGUGCGGGAUGACGUCCUUCUGGUUGUAAACCGCUUUCGCCUGUGACGAAGCGUGAGUGACGGUAAUGGGUAAAGAAGCACCGGCUAACUACGUG
rnacentral:rRNA from 1 species